UGAAAAGCAAACCCCCUUUUUACAAGAUUUGGCACUUUAAGCAAAUUUUAAUCAUAUAUUACACUUUCAUAUUUAAAUUCAAGUCCUAUUCCAUUAAAUACUACAGCUGUUGUCACAGUCUGUUUUUGAGAGUAACAAACCCCCACAUAGGACGGGGAUGUGAACCUGGAUCUCUUAGAACACUUUAAAGCAUCAACUGUACCACAAAGACAAUUUAUGGGACUGUAAAGUUCCCACAAAAAACUUUGACAUUGUCAAAUAAAAAAUAAUGUAUUUUAAUUAAGAAUCAGUUGACAAGAAAUUCUUUUAAUUUGGAAAGUAGUCAUUACUAAAAUAGAAUAUAAUAAAAGCAUAAUAUACACUUGUUAAAAUGAGUGUGAUAUUAGCUUUUGGUCAUAUCACACAGUGUACUCCCCUCAAUGUAAAAUACUUGCUAUAGGAACUUGAGGUUAAAGGGGUCCUGCAAUGUUGUCACUGGGUUUUCUGAAGUUGAAUAGCCUGAAAUCAGUGGUUAAGCCCUGCUUGAGAAUGUCUGCAGAAAAAGUAUAGAUCUCUCUCCUUUUUAUUGCCAUUUUUAACCCUCCUUUAGUACGGAUGAGUGAAUGCAUGGUUGAUGCCUCACCGCAGGUGGGAACAAAUCGAGCUGAAGCUCGUUAAGGAGAGUAUCGUGACGAUGGUGAUCUAACCUUCUGCCAUCUCUCAAAGGAUCUUCAGAGGAGGCCGGCAGCUGCAGUUGUCUCUGUCCCUGUGCUGAUCGAGUGUGCAUACUCAGCCAUACUGAAUAAUGCACGGCACCUGCCUGGGCUGAAGGAGGCCUGCUGUGUGCUGAAGAAAGAAAAAUACAGAUCGCUAAUUGACUUUGGUUCCUCAUGCUAUGCUAAUGAAUAUUCCAUGAGGCAGGGAUGAGGCACAAUGCGUGCCGUCCUGUGAGGAGCCACUGCCAUACUUGGAACAAAACUGGCCACUGCCACAUACAUCAUGAUCUGGCCAGACUUGUAUCCAACAGAGGACAGAAGGAAGGGAAAUUCCUUUUCAACUCUGCUACAGAUUUCUAUCAUGUUUUAACAGGACAACUAGGACUACCAGUUACUGUACAUGAAGAUGAAAAGAAACAUCAAGAUUGCAAAUGUGUAGCACCGUUUUUGUAUUGUGCUUACGGAUCGAAAAACUGCCAGUAAGAGCUGUUUUGCUUUUCCAGGGAAUGAAAGUGUGGCAUAUAUUGUGGGUAUGGAGAGCAGAAGGGGUCUUUACCUCCUCCUCUUCUCACCAGUUCCUCUCUGCAGGGUGCUUUCCUACAACUAUGACACUUGAACUGUGCCAGCUAAUAGACCAGGGUGAAUAAUCAAUAUCUGAACUACAACAUUCUCAAAAUGCUGGAUUUUGAAAUGGUGCUAAAGUUUACAUAGCUGCAACAUACUUAGAGUAUAGAGUUUGUCAAGUCAAGUAGAGUCACCUUUAUUUAUAUAGCACCCAAGAGCAGCAUGUACCGUGUGAAAAGUAAAAGUCCUAGUACUGAGCCCUGCAGUUCUCCAUACACUUGUAAAUGAUAUGACACAAUUUUCAUUUACUGCUACAAAUUGAUAAGAUUGAAGACAUAGUCUAACAGUGCAAAUAUAUCUAUGACUGCUCUAUUUAGGGACUCUCUACAGGUGUAUCUUUUCAAUUCUUGCUCCAUUCAGUUCAUUAUGCAAAAGUUUAACAUGAUAAUGUAAUUCUCCUAAUUUCUCUAUUACAUAAGAAUGGAUUUGAUGCCUUAUGUUGCUUGUGUUCUUGUUUUCUACAAACUUCAGCAUGCAUACAGUAAUGCCUUCAUUUGCAUGUUUUCAUUUUGCUAGACAUUUUUAGAGAGAGGGAAACAAGAUGCUUGCAGGCUGAUUACUUCUCCUCUGUGACUUUUAGUUAAACAUCAGCCCACAUCCAAUUCUCUUUGCUAUGUCAUGUUUUUCUCUCCUGUCAUCUCAGUCUCUAAGUUCCUUUCUCAUAGCACUGUACUCCCUGCUCCCUCCCUUUGCAUCUCUUUUUAAUAAACACCCACUGAACUUCACGUCUUAAUUUGAGAUAUAAUUUAAAAUAUUAAUUCUGCUUGCGAUGUGAAAGGGCUUUCUCAGAACUGAUAGUAUAGCCUGUGAUCAAGGUGCACUACACUCACAUUCCAUAUGGAAUGCAAAUUUUAUAUUUUAUUUUAUUUUUUAUUUUAUUUUAGGGCCUUGUGGCCUUUAUUUCACAUAGAAAUGGACAAGGAUAUGAUGGGAUUGAGCUAAAAUUGAAUUAUUUGGCCUCAACACCAAACGAUACG
ensembl:lncRNA